UCCCGUAACGAGCGCAACCCUUGUCCUUAGUUACCAGCACGUAAUGGUGGGCACUCUAAGGAGACUGCCGGUGACAAACCGGAGGAAGGUGGGGAUGACGUCAAGUCAUCAUGGCCCUUACGGCCUGGGCUACACACGUGCUACAAUGGUCGGUACAGAGGGUUGCCA
rnacentral:rRNA from 1 species